rnacentral:rRNA from 1 species
AUGGCAAUAGUCCAACGGUGGGAUAAACCGGAUUAUUUUAUCACGAUGACUUGCAAUACCUAUUGGGAGGAGAUAACCCAUAAUCUGAUGCCUGGACAACUUCCACAAGACCGUCCAUACCUUGUGGCAAGAGUAUACAAGGCUAAACAACGAGAUAUGAUGGAAUUUCUAACUAAGGGUAAGCAUUUCGGAGAAGUCGCAGCUUAUGUACAUGUCACGGAGUUUCAGAACCGAGGCCUCCCUCAUGAGCAUAUACUUUUAAUCAUGAAAACAAAUAGCAAGUUAGCAUCCCCAUAUGACUAUGAUCAGGUGAUAUCCGCAGAGAUACUUGACAAAGGGAAACACCCCGUUCUGCAUGACCUGAUCGUCAAACACAUGCUGCACGGACCCUGUGAUUGA